AUGCUCACUUUGGCAGCACAUAUACUAAAAUUGGAAUGAUAUGGAGAUUAGCAUGGCCCCCGCAUAAAGAUGACACUAAAAUUCAUGAAAUCUUCCAUACCAAA